rnacentral:rRNA from 1 species
GACGAACGCUGACGGCGUGCUUAACACAUGCAAGUCGAAGGGAGUGGCGAACGGGUGAGUAACACGUGUGUAACCUGCCCUUUUCUUUGGGAUAAGCCUGGGAAACUGGGUCUAAUACUGGAUGGAUUGGGAUGGGCUCGCCGCUUAUGCGCUUGUUGGUGGGGUGAAGGCUUACCAAGGCUUUGACGGGUUGCCGGCCUGAGAGGGGGGUCGGUCACACUGGGAAUGAGAUACGGCCCAGACUCCUACGGGAGGGAGCAGUGGGGGAUAUUGCACAAUGGGCGAAAGCCUGAUGCAGCGGCGCCGCGUGGGGGAUGAAGGCUUUCGGGUUGUAAACCUCUUUCGCUAUCGAACGGGUAGGUGGAGAAGAAGCGCCGGCUAACUACGUGCCAGCCGCCGCGGUAAUAC